ACUCGUGUUAUAGAAUCCACAAGCAAGAAUUACAAUGAAAUAAUAAAAGACUCAACAAAGACUCAAUAUGUGUAACUAAUACUUUUCAAUGAGAUACUUAGUCUUGAGCUUGGUCUUCGUAUAUAUAAUGAUUUAGCACGCUCCUCUUGCUUCAGAAUCAAUAGGACGCUCCUUGAGAAUCAUAAAAGGUGAUCUGAUACUUUUUCAAUCUUCAUUAAGGAUAUAUCAAGACUUUCCAAAAGUGUUUAAGGGACUUUAGAAGAAAGGAUAAGUCAUCCAGCUAUUCCAUUAAGUUUGUCUUAUCCUUAAAGCUCCUGAUCAGAUCAAAUCUUCAAUAAGCGUGUUUAUCAGUGGAUUUCCAUAUAUAGCAGAUGCUCUCAUAAAUGC
rnacentral:lncRNA from 1 species